GGAAUUUGCACAAUGGGCGCAAGCCUGAUGCAGCCAUGCCGCGUGUGUGAAGAAGGCCUUAGGGUUGUAAAGCACUUUCAGUCAGGAGGAAAGGGUCACGGUUUAUACCCGAUAGCUGUGACGAUUCUGACAGAAGAAGCACCGGCUUACUCCGGGCCAUCAGGCGCGGUAAUACUGCUGGUGCUAGCGUUAAUCUGAAUUACUGGGCGUAAAGCGUGCGCAAGCCGUUUGUUAAGCCAGAUGUGAAAGCCCCGGACUCAACCUGUGAACUGCAUUUCAAACUGGCGGACUUCAGUGUGAUAGAGGGUGGUUGAAUUUUAUGUGUAGCGGCGAAAUGCGUAAAGAUCUGAAAGAAUAUCGAUGGUGACGGCAGCCACCUGGGUCAACACUGACGCUCAUGU
rnacentral:rRNA from 1 species